rnacentral:rRNA from 1 species
AGACGCUGGCGGCGUGCCUAAUACAUGCAAGUCGAACGCUUCCUAUCGGUGCUUGCACCGAGAAAGAAGAGUGGCGGACGGGUGAGUAACAACGUGGGUAACCUACCUAUAAGCGGGGGAUAACAUUCGGAAACGGAUGCUAAUACCGCAUAGAUCUUAAUGCCUCCUGGCAUUGGGAAGAAAGACGGCUUCGGCUGUCACUUGUAGAUGGACCCGCGGCGCAUUAGUUAGUUGGUGAGGUAAUGGCUCACCAAGACGAUGAUGCGUAGCCGACCUGAGAGGGUGAUCGGCCACACUGGGACUGAGACACGGCCCAGACUCCUACGGGAGGCAGCAGUAGGGAAUCUUCCGCAAUGGACGAAAGUCUGACGGAGCAACGCCGCGUGAGUGAAGAAGGUUUUCGGAUCGUAAAACUCUGUUGUUAGAGAAGAACAAGGAUGAGAGUAACUGUUCAUCCCUUGACGGUAUCUAACCAGAAAGCCAUGGCUAACUACGUG